GAGACAGACAGGUUAGAGACAGACGGGUUAGAGACAGACAGGUUAGAGACAGACAGACAGGUUAGAGACAGACAUGUUAGAGAGAAAGACAGGUUAGAGACAGACGGGUUAGAGACAGACAGACAGGUUAGAGACAGACAGGUUAGAGACAGACAGACAGGUUAGAGACAGACGGGUUAGAGACAGACAGACAGGUUAGAGACAGACAGGUUAGAGACAGACAGACAGGUUAGAGACAGACAGGUUAGAGACAGACAGACAUGAUAGAGACAGACAGGUCAGAGACAGACAGACAGGUUAGAGACAGACAGGUUAGAGACAGGCAGACAGGUUAGAGACAGACAGGUCAGAGACAGACAGACAGGUUAGAGACAGACGGGUUAGAGACAGACAGACAGGUUAGAGACAGACAGGUUAGAGACAGACAGACAGGUUAGAGACAGACAGACGGAGACAGACAGGUUAGAGACAGACAGGUUAGAGACAGACAGACGGAGACAGACAGGUUAGAGACAGACAGGUUAGAGACAGACAGACAUGAUAGAGACAGACAGGUCAGAGACAGACAGACAGGUUAGAGACAGACAGGUUAGAGACAGGCAGACAGGUUAGAGACAGACAGACAGGUUAGAGACAGACAGGUUAGAGACAGACAGACGGAGACAGACAGACAUGAUAGAGACAGACAGGUUAGAGACAGACAGGUUAGAGACAGACAGACAGGUUAGAGACAGACAGGUCAGAGACAGACAGGUCAGAGACAGACAGGUUAGAGACAGACAGGUUAGAGACAGACAGGUUAGAGACAGACAGACAGGUUAGAGACAGACAGGUUAGAGACAGACAGACAUGAUAGAGACAGACAGGUCAGAGACAGACAGACAGGUUAGAGACAGACAGACAGGUUGGAGACAGACAGGUUAGAGACAGACAGACAUGAUAGAGACAGACAGGUCAGAGACAGACAGACAGGUUAGAGACAGACAGACAGGUUGGAGACAGACAGGUUAGAGACAGGCAGACAGGUUAGAGACAGACAGGUUAGAUACAGACAGGUCAGAGACAGACAGACAUGAUAGAGACAGACAGGUUAGAGUCAGACAGACAGGUUAGAGACAGACAGACAGGUUAGAGACAGACAGACAGGUUAGAGACAGACAGGUUAGAGACAGACAGGUUAGAGACAGACAGACAUGAUAGAGACAGACAGGUCAGAGACAGACAGACAGGUUAGAGACAGACAGGUUAGAGACAGGCAGACAGGUUAGAGACAGACAGGUUAGAGACAGACAGACAUGUUAGAGACAGACAGGUUAGAGACAGACAGACAGGUUAGAGACAGACAGACAGGUUAGAGACAGACAGGUUAGAGACAGACAGACAUGAUAGAGACAGACAGGUUAGAGACAGACAGGUUAGAGACAGGCAGACAGGUUAGAGACAGACAGACAGGUUAGAGACAGACAGACAGGUUAGAGACAGACAGACGGAGACAGACAGGUUAGAGACAGACAGACAUGUUAGAGACAGACAGACAGGUUAGAGACAGACAGACAGGUUAGAGACAGACAGACAUGUUAGAGACAGACAGACAGGUUAGAGACAGACAGACAUGAUAGAGACAGACAGACAUGAUAGAGACAGACAGGUUAGAGGGAGACAGACGGAGACAGACAGGUUAGAGACAGGCAGACAGGUUAGAGACAGACAGACAGGUUAGAGACAGACAGACGGAGACAGACAGGUUAGAGACAGACAGACAGGUUAGAGACAGACAGACAUGUUAGAGACAGACAGACAUGAUAGAGACAGACAGGUUAGAGACAGACAGACGGAGACAGACAGGUUAGAGACAGACAGACAGGUUAGAGACAGACAGACAGGUUAGAGACAGACAGACAUGAUAGAGACAGACAGACAUGAUAGAGACAGACAGGUUAGAGGGAGACAGACGGAGACAGACAGACAGGUUAGAGACAGGCAGACAGGUUAGAGACAGACAGACAGGUUAGAGACAGACAGGUUAGAGACAGACAGACAGGUUAGAGACAGACAGACAUGUUAGAGACAGACAGACAUGAUAGAGACAGACAGGUUAGAGACAGACAGACGGAGACAGACAGGUUAGAGACAGGCAGACAGGUUAGAGACAGACAGGUUAGAGACAGACAGACAUGAUAGAGACAGACAGGUUAGAGACAGACAGGUUAGAGACAGACAGACAGGUUAGAGACAGACGGAGACAGACAGACAGGUUAGAGACAGACAGGUUAGAGACAGACAGAUGGAGACAGACAUGUUAGAGACAGACAGACAGGUUAGAGACAGACAGACAUGUUAGAGACAGACAGGUUAGAGACAGACAGACAUGUUAGAGACAGACAGGUUAGAGACAGACAGACAUGAUAGAGACAGACAGGUUAGAGGGAGACAGACAGGUUAGAGACAGACAGACAUGUUAGAGACAGACAGGUUAGAGACACACAGACGGAGACAGACAGGUUAGAGACAGACAGACAGGUUAGAGACAGACAGGUUAGAGACAGGCAGACAGGUUAGAGACAGACAGGUUAGAGACAGACAGGUUAGAGACAGACAGACAGGUUAGAGACAGACAGACGGAGACAGACAGGUUAGAGACAGACAGACAUGAUAGAGACAGACAGGUUAGAGACAGACAGGUUAGAGACAGACAGGUUAGAGACAGACAGACAGGUUAGAGACAGACAGACGGAGACAGACAGGUUAGAGACAGACAGACAGGUUAGAGACAGACAGACAUGUUUGAGACAGACAGACAGGUUAGAGACAGACAGGUUAGAGACAGACAGACGGAGACAGACAUGUUAGAGACAGACAGACAUGAUAGAGACAGACAGACAGGUUAGAGACAGACAGACAUGUUAGAGACAGACAGACAGGUUAGAGACAGACAGGUUAGAGACAGACAGACAUGAUAGAGACAGACAGACAGGUUAGAGACAGACAGACAUGUUAGAGACAGACAGACAGGUUAGAGACAGACAGACAUGAUAGAGACAGACAGGUUAGAGGGAGACAGACGGAGACAGACAGACAGGUUAGAGACAGACAGACAUGUUAGAGACAGACAGACAUGUUAGAGACAGACAGGUUAGAGACAGACAGACAUGAUAGAGACAGACAGGUUAGAGACAGACAGACGGAGACAGACAGGUUAGAGACAGACAGACAGGUUAGAGACAGACAGACAUGAUAGAGACAGACAGGUUAGAGACAGACAGACAGGUUAGAGACAGACAGACAUGAUAGAGACAGACAGGUUAGAGACAGACAGACAGGUUAGAGACAGACAGACAUGAUAGAGACAGACAGGUUAGAGACAGACAGACAGGAUAGAGACAGACAGACAGGUUAGAGACAGACAGACAGGUUAGAGACAGACAGGUUAGAGACAGACAGACAUGUUAGAGACAGACAGGUUAGAGACAGACAGACAGGUUAGAGACAGACAGACGGAGACAGACAGACGGAGACAGACAGGUUAGAGACAGACAGACAUGUUAGAGACAGACAGACAGGUUAGAGACAGACAGACAUGUUAGAGACAGACAGGUUAGAGACAGACAGACAGGUUAGAGACAGACAGACAUGUUAGAGAGACAGACAUGUUAGAGAGACAGACAUGUUAGAGAGACAGACAGGUUAGAGACAGACAGGUUAGAGACAGACAGACAUGAUAGAGACAGACAGGUUAGAGACAGACAGACAGGUUAGAGACAGACAGACGGAGACAGACAGACAUGAUAGAGACAGACAGGUUAGAGACAGACAGGUUAGAGUCAGACAGACAGGUUAGAGACAGACAGACAGGUUAGAGACAGACAGGUCAGAGACAGACAGGUCAGAGACAGACAGGUUAGAGACAGACAGACAGGUUAGAGACAGACAGGUCAGAGAC